rnacentral:rRNA from 1 species
UACGAAGGGUGCAAACGUUGCUCGGAAUCAUUGGGCGUAAAGCGCACGUAGGCGGCUUCGCAAGUCGGAUGUGAAAUCCCGUGGCUCAACCAUGGACGUGCAUUCGAAACUGCGAAGCUUGAGUAUGGAAGAGGGUCGCGGAAUUCCCGGUGUAGAGGUGAAAUUCGUAGAUAUCGGGAGGAACACCAGUGGCGAAGGCGACUACCUGGCCUGUUCUUGACGCUGAGGCGCGAAAGCUAGGGGAGCAAACGGG